GGAAUCUACUUUUUCGUGGGGGAUAACGUAGGGAAACUUACCCUAAUACCGCAUACGACCUACGGGUGAAAGCAGGGGAUCUUCGGACCUUGCGCGAUUGAAUGAGCCGAUGUCGGAUUAGCUAGUUGGCGGGGUAAAGGCCCACCAAGGCGACGAUCCGUAUCUGGUCUGAGAGGAUGAUCGGCCACACUGGAACUGAGACACAGUC
rnacentral:rRNA from 1 species